rnacentral:rRNA from 1 species
AGAUUGAACGCUGGCGGCAUGCUUUACACAUGCAAGUCGAACGGUAACGCGGGGGCAACCCUGGCGACGAGUGGCGAACGGGUGAGUAAUACAUCGGAACAUGUCCUGGAGUGGGGGAUAGCUCGGCGAAAGCCGGAUUAAUACCGCAUACGCUCUGAGGAGGAAAGCGGGGGACUCGUAAGGGCCUCGCGCUGCAGGAGUGGCCGAUGUCGGAUUAGCUAGUGGUGAGGUAAAGGCUCACCUUAAGGCGACGAUCCGUAGCUGGUCUGAGAGGAUGAUCAGCCACACUGGGACUGAGACACGGCCCAGACUCCGUACGGGAGGCAGCAGUGGGGAAUUUUGGACAAUGGGGGCAACCCUGAUCCAGCCAUGCCGCGUGAGUGAAGAAGGCCUGGUGUAAGCGUCGUUCGGUACGGACGAAGUAGGUUACGGUAGAAGUACCUGUGUACUGUAGUACGACGGUACCGUAACGAAG